rnacentral:rRNA from 1 species
GACGAACGCUGGCGGCGUGCCUAACACAUGCAAGUCGAACGGAAAGGCCCUGCUUUUGUGGGGUGCUCGAGUGGCGAACGGGUGAGUAACACGUGUGUAACCUGCCCUUGACUUUGGGAUAACUUCAGGAAACUGGGGCUAAUACCGGAUAGGAUCUCCCGCUGCGUGGUGGGCGUUGGAAAGUUUCGGCGGUUGGGGAUGGACUAGCGGCUUAUCCGCUUGUUGGUGGGGUAGUGGCUUACCAAGGCUUUGACGGGUAGCCGGCCUGAGAGGGUGACCGGCGUCAUUAGGACUAAGGUACGGCGCAGACUGCAACGGGCGGCAGCGGGGGGAAAUAUUGCACAGUGAGACCAAGCGUGAUGCGGCGGCGCCGCGUGCGGAAUGACGGCCUUUGGGGUGUAAACCGCUUUCGCCUGUGACGAAGCGGGAGUGACGGUAAUGAGUAAAGAAGCACCGGCUAACUACGUG